GACGAACGCUGGCGGCGUGCUUAACACAUGCAAGUCGAACGGAAAGGCCCUGCUUUCAUGGUACUCUCGUGGCGAACGGGUGAGUAACACGUGUGUGUACUGUGCUCCACUUUUUGGUAUGCCUUCAGAACUGUGGCGCUUAUCGGGUAUAGGCCAUUCUGCUGGUUGGUGGUGGUAGGAAUUUUGCGUCUGGGAUGGGCUUGCUGCCUGUUAGUCUGCUUGUGGGGUAAGUGCCUACCAACGCGGCCACGGGUAGGCGGCCGGAGAGGGUGGACGGCCACAAUGGGGCUGGGAAACGGCCCAGAAUCCUAAGGGAGGCAGCCGGGGGGAAUAUUGGAAAAUGGGCGGGAGCCUGAUGCAGCGACGCCGCGUGGCGGAUGAAGGGCUUCGGGUUGUAAAAUCGUUUCGGCAGGGACGAAGCCUUGUGUGACGGUAACUAGAUAAGAAGCACCGGCUAACUACGUG
rnacentral:rRNA from 1 species